rnacentral:rRNA from 1 species
UACGAAGGGGGCUAGCGUUGCUCGGAAUGACUGGGCGUAAAGGGCGCGUAGGCGGAUUGUACAGUCAGGCGUGAAAUUCCCGGGCUCAACCUGGGGGCUGCGCUUGAGACGUGCGAUCUUGAGUGGGGAAGAGGGUCGUGGAAUUCCCAGUGUAGAGGUGAAAUUCGUAGAUAUUGGGAAGAACACCGGUGGCGAAGGCGGCGACCUGGUCCUUGACUGACGCUGAGGCGCGAAGGCGUGGGGAGCAAACAGG